GCAGGCCUAACACAUGCAAGUCGAGCGCUACCUUCGGGUGGAGCGGCGGACGGGUUAGUAACGCGUGGGAACGUACCCAGUAGCGGGGGAUAGCCCGGGGAAACCCGGAUUAAUACCGCAUACGCCCUAUGGGGGAAAGCAGGGGAUCUUCGGACCUUGCACUAUUGGAUGAGCCUGCGUCGGAUUAGCUAGUUGGUGGGGUAAAGGCCUACCAAGGCGACGAUCCGUAGCUGGUCUGAGAGGAUGAUC
rnacentral:rRNA from 1 species